rnacentral:tRNA from 1 species
CAGAAUUUAGCUUAUAAUUAAAGUUUUUUAGUUACAUUAAAAAGAAAAUUAAUAAUUUUUUCUGA